UCGUAUUCUACAGAAACUGGUUUGACUUCAUCUACCCAAUGUCUUGCUGCUGGUACCCUAUGUAAUAACUACUGCUCAAAUGGAGGUAACUGUGUCAUUAGAAACAAUGAACCAGUAUGUGAUUGCACACCAGGACAAUACUUUGGAACAAGAUGUUCGACUCAAGUUGAUCACUGUAGAUCAAAUCCUUGUUAUAACAACGGACUUUGUUCAAGCACUGCUGCUGGUUACACUUGUGAUUGUAGAGGUUUUGCCACUGGAACAAGAUGUGAAACUUUGGUGAAAAAAUGCCAAACAGGUUCAAAUCCAAGUUGUAAAAAUGGUGGCCAUUGUAUUAAUAGACUCAAUUCAUUUGAAUGUUUGUGUGCCGAAGGUUUUACUGGAGAUUUGUAAGUAUAUAAGUGUUGG